GACGAACGCUGGCGGCGUGCUUAACACAUGCAAGUCGAACGGAAAGGCCCUGCUUGCAGGGUACUCGAGUGGCGAACGGGUGAGUAACACGUGGGUGAUCUGCCCUGCACUUCGGGAUAAGCCUGGGAAACUGGGUCUAAUACUGGAUAGGAGCCAUUUUUAGUGUGAUGGUUGGAAAGUUUUUUCGGUGUAGGAUGAGCUCGCGGCCUAUCAGCUUGUUGGUGGGGUAAUGGCCUACCAAGGCGGCGACGGGUAGCCGGCCUGAGAGGGUGGACGGCCACAUUGGGACUGAGAUACGGCCCAGACUCCUACGGGAGGCAGCAGUGGGGAAUAUUGCACAAUGGGCGCAAGCCUGAUGCAGCGACGCCGCGUGGGGGAUGACGGCCUUCGGGUUGUAAACGCCUUUCGCUAGGGACGAAGCUUUUUGUGACGGUACCUAGAUAAGAAGCACCGGCUAACUACGUG
rnacentral:rRNA from 1 species